AGGGAAUCUUCCACAAUGGGCGCAAGCCUGAUGGAGCAACGCCGCGUGUGUGAUGAAGGGUUUCGGCUCGUAAAACACUGUUAUAAGAGAAGAACGGCACUGAGAGUAACUGUUCAGUGUGUGACGGUAUCUUACCAGAAAGGAACGGCUAAAUACGUGCCAGCAGCCGCGGUAAUACGUAUGUUCCAAGCGUUAUCCGGAUUUAUUGGGCGUAAAGCGAGCGCAGACGGUUAUUUAAGUCUGAAGUGAAAGCCCUCAGCUCAACUGAGGAAUUGCUUUGGAAACUGGAUGACUUGAGUGCAGUAGAGGAAAGUGAAACUCCAUGUGUAGCGGUGAAAUGCGUAGAUAUAUGGAAGAACACCAGUGGCGAAGGCGGCUGUCUGGUCUGUAACUGACGCUGAGGCUCGAAAGCAUGGGUAGCAAACAGGAUUAGAUACCCUGGUAGUCCAUGCCGUAAACGAUGAGUGCUAGGUGUUGGAGGGUUUCCGCCCUUCAGUGCCGCAGCUAACGCAUUAAGCACUCCGCCUGGGGAGUACGACCGCAAGGUUGAAACUCAAAGGAAUUGACGGGGGCCCGCACAAGCGGUGGAGCAUGUGGUUUAAUUCGAAGCAACGCGAAGAACCUUACCAGGUCUUGACAUCCUUUGACCACUCUAGAGAUAGAGCUUUCCCUUCGGGGACAAAGUGACAGGUGGUGCAUGGUUGUCGUCAGCUCGUGUCGUGAGAUGUUGGGUUAAGUC
rnacentral:rRNA from 1 species